UGGCGGCAGGCUUAACACAUGCAAGUCGAGCGGUAGCAGAUCUAGCUUGCUAGAUGCUGACGAGCGGCGGACGGGUGAGUAACGCGUAGGAACCUGCCCAGUAGUGGGGGAUAGCCCGGGGAAACUCGGAUUAAUACCGCAUACGCUCUACGGAGGAAAGAGGGGGCUUCGGCUCUCGCUAUUGGAUGGGCCUGCGUGAGAUUAGCUAGUUGGUGAGGUAAUGGCUCACCAAGGCGACGAUCUCUAGCUGGUCUGAGAGGAUGAUCGGCCACACUGGGACUGAGACACGGCCCAGACUCCUACGGGAGGCAGCAGUGGGGAAUAUUGCACAAUGGGCGCAAGCCUGAUGCAGCCAUGCCGCGUGUGUGAAGAAGGCUUUCGGGUUGUAAAGCACUUUCAGUGGGGAGGAAGGCCUCGUAGUUAAUAGCUGCGAGGAUUGACGUUACCCACAGAAGAAGCACCGGCUAACUCCGUG
rnacentral:rRNA from 1 species